rnacentral:lncRNA from 10 species
AUCCGAGCCAUAUCACUGCCCUUCCACGCUUGUGUUACGACACCUCAAACCAGGCACGCUAUACACAUUUGCUACUGAAAUCAGUGACUUCAAAUGCCUGCGGUGUUCUAAACAUAUUGUGGGUCCUCAUGGGAUGGAAGAAAGUGCAUUGGAUUUGAAAUGGGAAUAUUUGGCUCAGGCCCUGGUGGUCUGAUGCCUCUAUGUCUAUUUCACACCAUGUGAGGUAAUUUAUUUGAAAUUCAUCACCUUGUUCAGUCCUUGUAGUGAUUCUCUGAGCUAGCAAUUAUCCCGAUUAGAUAGCUGGGGAAGCCAAGGUUUAGUAGAGUAAAACAAUGAUGCAUGACUGGCACAUGGUAGACUUUAGGAAGCUCAGUUCUCCUGAUCUCAGU